GAUGAACGCUGGCGGCAUGCCUAAUACAUGCAAGUCGAACGAUGCAAUUUAUUGCAUAGUGGCGAACGGGUGAGUAACGCGUAAGAAAUUUGCCCACAAGACGAGGAUAACCAUUGGAAACGAUGGCUAAUACUGGAUAGUAGACUAGUUCGCAUGAACUUAUCUUUAAAGAUGCGUUUGCAUCACUUGUGGAGAAUCUUGCGUCGCAUUAGCUAGUUGGUAAGGUAACGGCUUACCAAGGCGACGAUGCGUAACCGGGCUGAGAGGCUGAACGGUCACACUGGAACUGAGACACGGUCCAGACUCCUACGGGAGGCAGCAGUAGGGAAUUUUCCACAAUGGGCGAAAGCCUGAUGGAGCAAUGCCGCGUGAAUGAUGAAGGUUUUCGGAUCGUAAAAUUCUGUUGUUUGGGAAGAACUGUUAAUAUAGGAAAUGAUAUUAAUUUGACGGUACCAUUCAAGAAAGCCCCGGCUAACUACGUGCCAGCCGCCGCCGUAAC
rnacentral:rRNA from 1 species